GUACAGGCUGCCGGGAAUACUGCAGAGCUAGGGAGUGGGAGAGGUAGACGGUACUCGGUAGGAAGGGGUAAAAUCCUUUGAUCUAUUGAUGACCACCUGUGGCGAAGGCGGUCUACCAGAACACGUCCGACGGUGAGGGAUGAAAGCUGGGGGAGCAAACCGGAUUAGAUACCCGGGUAGUCCCAGCUGUAAACCAUGCAAACUCAGUGAUGCAUUGGCUUAUGGCCAAUGCAGUGCUGCAGGGAAGCCGUUAAGUUUGCCGCCUGGGAAGUACGUACGCAAGUAUGAAACUUAAAGGAAUUGGCGGGGGAGCACCACGAGGGGUGAAGCCUGCGGUUCAAUUGGAGUCAACGCCAGAAAUCUUACCCGGAGAGACAGCAGAAUGAAGGUCAAGCUGAAGACUUUACCAGACAAGCUGAGAGGUGGUGCAUGGCCGUCGCCAGCUCGUGCCGUGAGAUGUCCUGUUAAGUCAGGUAACGAGCGAGAUCCCUACCUCUAGUUGCCACCAUUACUCCCAGGAGUAGUGGGGCGAAUUAGCGGGACCGCCACAGUUAAUGUGGAGGAAGGAAGGGGCCACGGCAGGUCAGUAUGCCCCGAAACUCUGGGGCCACACGCGGGCUGCAAUGGUAACGACAAUUGGUUCCGAAUCCGAAAGGAUGAGGUAAUCCUCAAACGUUACCACAGUUAUGACUGAGGGCUGCAACUCGCCCUCACGAAUAUGGAAUCCCUAGUAACUGCGUGUCAUUAUCGCGCGGUGAAUACGUCCCUGCUCCUUGCACACACCGCCCGUCGUUUCAUUGAAGUGAGCUUUUAGCGAGGUGACGUCACAUUGGCGUUAUCGAACUUGAGGUUCGUGACAAGGGAAAAGUCGUAACAAGGUGGC
rnacentral:rRNA from 1 species